UACUCGUGAUGUGGACACUGACUUAAGAGUUCUUUAAAUCUCUCCCAGACUUCAUAAAAUGUUUCAUUGUCUUUUGGAAAAAUAUUGAGAUUUGUCUUUUCAAACUA